CUUUGGGUUAUAUAGUUUGUAUCUGGUUCUUGGAUGUUUAUAGAUCUGGGGUUGGUAUUUAAAAAGGUCUGUACAUUGUAGAUAUUUUCUAUAUAUGUUCGGGCUGUGUAGUUGUAAGUCUUUUUGUCUUGGUUUAGACUAUCUCGGUAUGUGGUAAUUUGUGGGGGUAUAAACAUGGGAUCUUUUGAUGUAUUUGGUAUAUAUGGUUUAUCAAAUAGCU
rnacentral:lncRNA from 1 species